rnacentral:sRNA from 21 species
GCCAAAGACCUGCGAGGUUUUUGAAACCUCGCAGGUCUCACCUGUCAGAAUCAUUGAGGUAUGGUACUAACAGGAGGCUUGUUUAAGCAGAAGUUGGGAAGGUUAUCACACCUGCGGAUGUUAUCCCAGUCCGCAGCUCUGUG